rnacentral:rRNA from 1 species
AGCGUACACGGUGGAUGCCCUGGCAGUCAGAGGCGAUGAAGGACGUGCUAAUCUGCGAUAAGCGUCGGUAAGGUGAUAUGAACCGUUAUAACCGGCGAUUUCCGAAUGGGGAAACCCAGUGUGAUUCGUCACACUAUCAUUAACUGAAUCCAUAGGUUAAUGAGGCGAACCGGGGGAACUGAAACAUCUAAGUACCCCGAGGAAAAGAAAUCAACCGAGAUUCCCCCAGUAGCGGCGAGCGAACGGGGAGCAGCCCAGAGCCUGAAUCAGUGUGUGUGUUAGUGGAAGCGUCUGGAAAGGCGCGCGAUACAGGGUGACAGCCCCGUACACAAAAAUGCACAUGCUGUGAGCUCGAUGAGUAGGGCGGGACACGUGGUAUCCUGUCUGAAUAUGGGGGGACCAUCCUCCAAGGCUAAAUACUCCUGACUGACCGAUAGUGAACCAGUACCGUGAGGGAAAGGCGAAAAGAACCCCGGCGAGGGGAGUGAAAAAGAACCUGAAACCGUGUACGUACAAGCAGUGGGAGCACGCUUAGGCGUGUGACUGCGUACCUUUUGUAUAAUGGGUCAGCGACUUAUAUUCUGUAGCAAGGUUAACCGAAUAGGGGAGCCGAAGGGAAACCGAGUCUUAACUGGGCGUUAAGUUGCAGGGUAUAGACCCGAAACCCGGUGAUCUAGCCAUGGGCAGGUUGAAGGUUGGGUAACACUAACUGGAGGACCGAACCGACUAAUGUUGAAAAAUUAGCGGAUGACUUGUGGCUGGGGGUGAAAGGCCAAUCAAACCGGGAGAUAGCUGGUUCUCCCCGAAAGCUAUUUAGGUAGCGCCUCGUGAAUUCAUCUCCGGGGGUAGAGCACUGUUUCGGCAAGGGGGUCAUCCCGACUUACCAACCCGAUGCAAACUGCGAAUACCGGAGAAUGUUAUCACGGGAGACACACGGCGGGUGCUAACGUCCGUCGUGAAGAGGGAAACAACCCAGACCGCCAGCUAAGGUCCCAAAGUCAUGGUUAAGUGGGAAACGAUGUGGGAAGGCCCAGACAGCCAGGAUGUUGGCUUAGAAGCAGCCAUCAUUUAAAGAAAGCGUAAUAGCUCACUGGUCGAGUCGGCCUGCGCGGAAGAUGUAACGGGGCUAAACCAUGCACCGAAGCUGCGGCAGCGACGCUUAUGCGUUGUUGGGUAGGGGAGCGUUCUGUAAGCCUGCGAAGGUGUGCUGUGAGGCAUGCUGGAGGUAUCAGAAGUGCGAAUGCUGACAUAAGUAACGAUAAAGCGGGUGAAAAGCCCGCUCGCCGGAAGACCAAGGGUUCCUGUCCAACGUUAAUCGGGGCAGGGUGAGUCGACCCCUAAGGCGAGGCCGAAAGGCGUAGUCGAUGGGAAACAGGUUAAUAUUCCUGUACUUGGUGUUACUGCGAAGGGGGGACGGAGAAGGCUAUGUUGGCCGGGCGACGGUUGUCCCGGUUUAAGCGUGUAGGCUGGUUUUCCAGGCAAAUCCGGAAAAUCAAGGCUGAGGCGUGAUGACGAGGCACUACGGUGCUGAAGCAACAAAUGCCCUGCUUCCAGGAAAAGCCUCUAAGCAUCAGGUAACAUCAAAUCGUACCCCAAACCGACACAGGUGGUCAGGUAGAGAAUACCAAGGCGCUUGAGAGAACUCGGGUGAAGGAACUAGGCAAAAUGGUGCCGUAACUUCGGGAGAAGGCACGCUGAUAUGUAGGUGAAGUCCCUCGCGGAUGGAGCUGAAAUCAGUCGAAGAUACCAGCUGGCUGCAACUGUUUAUUAAAAACACAGCACUGUGCAAACACGAAAGUGGACGUAUACGGUGUGACGCCUGCCCGGUGCCGGAAGGUUAAUUGAUGGGGUCAGCGCAAGCGAAGCUCUUGAUCGAAGCCCCGGUAAACGGCGGCCGUAACUAUAACGGUCCUAAGGUAGCGAAAUUCCUUGUCGGGUAAGUUCCGACCUGCACGAAUGGCGUAAUGAUGGCCAGGCUGUCUCCACCCGAGACUCAGUGAAAUUGAACUCGCUGUGAAGAUGCAGUGUACCCGCGGCAAGACGGAAAGACCCCGUGAACCUUUACUAUAGCUUGACACUGAACAUUGAGCCUUGAUGUGUAGGAUAGGUGGGAGGCUUUGAAGUGUGGACGCCAGUCUGCAUGGAGCCGACCUUGAAAUACCACCCUUUAAUGUUUGAUGUUCUAACGUUGACCCGUGAUCCGGGUUGCGGACAGUGUCUGGUGGGUAGUUUGACUGGGGCGGUCUCCUCCUAAAGAGUAACGGAGGAGCACGAAGGUUGGCUAAUCCUGGUCGGACAUCAGGAGGUUAGUGCAAUGGCAUAAGCCAGCUUGACUGCGAGCGUGACGGCGCGAGCAGGUGCGAAAGCAGGUCAUAGUGAUCCGGUGGUUCUGAAUGGAAGGGCCAUCGCUCAACGGAUAAAAGGUACUCCGGGGAUAACAGGCUGAUACCGCCCAAGAGUUCAUAUCGACGGCGGUGUUUGGCACCUCGAUGUCGGCUCAUCACAUCCUGGGGCUGAAGUAGGUCCCAAGGGUAUGGCUGUUCGCCAUUUAAAGUGGUACGCGAGCUGGGUUUAGAACGUCGUGAGACAGUUCGGUCCCUAUCUGCCGUGGGCGCUGGAGAACUGAGGGGGGCUGCUCCUAGUACGAGAGGACCGGAGUGGACGCAUCACUGGUGUUCGGGUUGUCAUGCCAAUGGCACUGCCCGGUAGCUAAAUGCGGAAGAGAUAAGUGCUGAAAGCAUCUAAGCACGAAACUUGCCCCGAGAUGAGUUCUCCCUGACUCCUUGA